ACGAUGAACCGCUUUCGGGCGGGGAUUAGUGGCGAACGGGUGAGUAACACGUGGGCAAUCUGCCCUGCACUCUGGGACAAGCCCUGGAAACGGGGUCUAAUACCGGAUAUGACUGUCCACCGCAUGGUGGAUGGUGUAAAGCUUCGGCGGUGCAGGAUGAGCCCGCGGCCUAUCGACUUUCGUGAGGUAGUGCUCACCAAGGCGACGGUGUGUACCCGGCCUGGGAGGGCGACCGGCCACACUGGGACUGAGACACGGCCCAGACUCCUACGGGAGGCAGCAGUGGGGAAUAUUGCACAAUGGGCGAAAGCCUGAUGCAGCGACGCCGCGUGAGGGAUGACGGCCUUCGGGUUGUAAACCUCUUUCAGCAGGGAAGAAGCGAAAGUGACGGUACCUGCAGAAGAAGCGCCGGCUAACUACGUGCCAGCAGCCGCGGUAAUACGUAGGGCGCAAGCGUUGUCCGGAAUUAUUGGGCGUAAAGAGCUCGUAGGCGGCUUGUCACGUCGGUUGUGAAAG
rnacentral:rRNA from 1 species